AUAUUUAUUAAUAUUAUUACAAUGUUUGUAAAAUAGACCAAGGUCCUUUUUGUAAAAAUUAGGCUCGAGGGGUUAGUUCUGACUUAAAGGAAUAUGCUAUUGUUAAAAGAAUAAGUGCAAAAUUUUCAAUUUUCAAUAUAGUAGUUUGUAAAAUUUAAAAUUAAAUGAAUUAGAUUUUGUUAUAAUUAUUAGUUUUGGUUAAAAUAUGUGCCAGCAACUGCGGUUAUACUAUUGAGGCGAGCAUAUUAUGUUUAUAAUAUUGAUUUAUUUUAAAAUAGAAAUAAGUAAUUUUGGGUGGGUGAAAUCAUCAUAAUGUAAAAUUCUAAAAUUAAAUCUUAAAAAUUUUAAUAAAAACUAGGAUUAGAUACCCUAUUAUAAAAAUAUUAAAAAUUAGGUAGUAACGGAGUUUCUGAAACCUAAAGGACUUGGCGGUAUUUUAAAUAAUUGGAGGAACUUGUUAUUUAAUUGAAGUUACACAACAUAUCUUUCCUUAUUUUUGCUUGUAUAUCAUUGUUUUAAGAUAACAUUUUUCUAAUAUAGUCUAAAUCAAGUUUGUUCAAAAAAUCAAAUCAAGGCGCAGCAUAAUAAGGUUAUAAUGAGUUACAAUGAAAUUUAUUCAAACGGAAAUAAAAAGUAAAAUAUAUUGAAGGUGGAUUCAAAAAUAAUAAAAAAUUAAAAAGUUCUUAUGAAUAAUAAUUUAAAAUAUGCACAUAUUGCCCGUCAUUCUUUCUGUCAAGGGUAGAUAAGUCGUAACAUAGUAGAUUCACCGGAAGGUGAAUCUGGUUU
rnacentral:ncRNA from 1 species